GCCUGGGUGGCUCAGUGGGUUAAAGCCUCUGCCUUCAGCUCAGGUCAUAAUCCCAGGGUCUUAGGAUCGAGUCCUGAAUCAGGCU
rnacentral:tRNA from 1 species